CCUACGGGGGGCUGCAGUGGGGAAUAUUGGACAAUGGGGGGAACCCUGAUCCAGCCAUGCUGCGUGUGUGAAGAAGGCCCUCGGGUUGUAAAGCACUUUCAGUGAGGAAGAACGCCUGGUGGUUAAUACCCAUCAGGAAAGACAUCACUCACAGAAGAAGCACCGGCUAACUCCGUGCCAGCAGCCGCGGUAAUACGGAGGGUGCGAGCGUUAAUCGGAAUUACUGGGCGUAAAGCGCGCGUAGGUGGCUUGAUAAGCCGGUUGUGAAAGCCCCGGGCUCAACCUGGGAACGGCAUCCGGAACUGUCAAGCUAGAGUGCAGGAGAGGAAGGUAGAAUUCCCGGUGUAGCGGUGAAAUGCGUAGAGAUCGGGAGGAAUACCAGUGGCGAAGGCGGCCUUCUGGACUGACACUGACACUGAGGUGCGAAAGCGUGGGUAGCAAACAGGAUUAGAUACCCCGGUAGUC
rnacentral:rRNA from 1 species